GGUGUUUAGACGCACGACGAUACGUUAUGGCCACAGCAACUGCGGAUAAGACUCAAGCGAGCGUCAUUCUUAUCACGCUUUCAAAACAAUAUUUUCACAUUUGGUGUUUAUUGCCAUAGUUUCGGUGUCACUGUGUUUCUUCGAUUCUACACGUUGACAGUGUACGCUGUUGGAGUGGCAAUCUCCGCAACGCCCCACGUCCAGCUUUCAUUGCUCAUUGUGCAGAAUCAGGGCAGGAACCUCUUCAUCACAACCUUACCUCAAGUAAUUGUCAGCAUAUAGUUGGAGUCCAGCUUGGCAUCCAUACACAGCAGCCAGCAGCUAUGAUAUGUCCCUAUCAAAGUAUCGGCGACUGAAUUUUGACAGGAUUAAUUAUGUUGGUGUUGACUUCAAGGCGUGUGCUGCUGCAGUUUGAGGUGAGUAUUUAUCUUCCUGUUAAAUUGUUUGCAUGUCAUUUUGCUUCAAGAUUUUUACUGUUUAUGUGUAAAAGUUGUUUACUGAUUUGUGAACUGUUAUCUAAAAUCCAUAGUGAAUAAGCAUCAAUUAGUUAGACUAUUAAAACCUGUGACACUCUAUUCAUUUGAUACCAAGUGUUGCAGAUGACACUGACGGGGUGUAAAUGCUGGUUUAGUAUGGCUCCAAUCGGCUUUGUGGAUUUGGUGUCUUGUUGCAGUAUCUUAUACAUCGUGAGGAUUGGAGGUGUUGGUAAAUGCUUGUCGCAAUCCACAUUUCCUCAUUCACAAACUAUUUUUUAUUUUCUUGGCAAAUUUAAUUUUGUCUGCUUUGCUGUUUUUGUUUUGUUUUUGUCUUCAUUUUAUUACUCAUAGGUUUACCAAGAAUCAUCUGUUGAGUGUCUGUGUCCUGGCCAUCCCUAACGGCUCACUCCACCUUCGCAUUUGGAUUUUGUAGUGGCAGUUUUUCUAGAAAGGAGAGCUUGGGCAUCAGUUGCGAAGUUGAAGAAAUCUGCAUGUCGAACAAGUCACCAACUCCCUGGAUCAAGACUUAGAUUAAAGAAAUUGCGUGAAGGGGUUUGUGCUUGUGCAUUACUUUUGUGCCAGCUAUACAGCAACUCAAUGUGAUUUUGUAAAUCCUCUCUUUUGUUUAUUAAUUGCUUUAUAGCCUCUGGUAAUUUGAAUUUAAUGUUUUGUUGUAUGAAAUAUUCUGAAGCAAGCUUUUCGUACUCCUAAGAGUCAUUCAUUUGUCUUUUCAACUAGUGAGUCUGAUUGUUUGUAUCGGCAAGUAGUAGGGAUUUUCAUUUGUGAAUUAUAGACUAAAUUUUCUGUAUCAGGCAGGCAGUUAUUUUGACUUAUCACUGACACUCGCCUGGUAUGGUUUGCAGCGUGUCAACUAUAAAAGCAGAUACCUGCUUGUGUAUGUGGGUUUUGUUUAUUAAUUGAGUACACAUUCAACUAUAGUUGAAAAUCAUUCAAUGGCAAUAGAAUGAUGUGUGUGUGACAAACUCUAAUAACAUUAUGUUAAGCUUUGUAUGAAUGUACUGACCUUACUCUUACUAAAAAUACAUUUCCUUUGCUCACUCCCCUCCGUGCAAUUGAUUGUUAUAGCCCAAUAUUUUUAUUUUAUUUCUAACCAUUCUGGUGGUGCAUGUAAAGCCUUGAGUUUGUGAAGUUCAUUUCUUUUAGAACUAAUUGCCACGACAUUUUGUAGACUUCUGCUUUGAGUUGCAAUGUUUCUAUCCAGACUUUGGACCUCUUUAAAAAAUUUGAAGAGCUUUCCAGUUU